UUUAGUUUUUCUUUUCGUUUAACUAUUCUAUUCAUAGCUUUUUUUUUCUUUUUUCAGAGACAGUCUCACUCUGUUGCCCAGGCUGGAGUACAAUGGCACGAUCAUAGAUCACUACAACCUUGAACUCCCCGGCUCAAGCUAGCCUCCAGCCUCAGCCUCUGAGUAGCAAGGACUGUUGCCAUCAUGCCUGGGAACGAGGCCUCCUUCAUUGCUGAGUACCUCUGGAGGGAACUGAUGUCCUGCCCAAGUCAUUGGUCAAUGAGUGUUUGCCAUAUGGAAAAAUGCUCCACAUCACUAAUCAUCAGAGGAAUGCAAAUAAAAACCACAAUGAGAUACCGUCUUGCACCAAUCAGAAUGGCUAUUAUUAAAAAGUCAAAAAAUAACAGAUGUUGGUGAGGCUGUGGAUAAAAGAGAACGCUUAUACUCUGUUGGUGGGAAUGUAAAUUAGCUCAGCCACUGUGGAGAGCAGUUUGGAGAUUUCUCAAAGAACUGAAAACAGAACUACAAUUUGACCCAGCAAUCCCAUUACUGGAUAUAUCCCCAAAGGCAAAUAAAUCACUCUACCAAAAAAACACAUGCACUUACAUGUUCAUCAAAGCACUGUUCGGAAUAGCAAAGACAUGGAAUCCACUUAGGUGCCCAUCAGUGGUGGAAUGGAAAAAGAAAAUGUGGUACAGAUACACCAUGGAAUACUACAUAGCCAUAAGAAACCAAAAUCAUAUUCUUUGCAGCAAUGUGGGUGCAGCUGGAGGCCAUUAUCCUAAGUGAAUUAACACAGAAACAGAAAACUUAAUGCCGCAUGUUCUCACUUAUAAGUGGGAGCUAAGCAUUGAGCACACAUGGACAUAAAGAUGGGAGCAGUAGCCACUGGGGACUGCUAGAAGGGAGAGGAAGGGAAGGAGGCAUGGACUGAAAAACUACUUAUUGGCUAAUAUUCUCAUUACCUGGGUCACGCGAUCAUUUGUACUCCAAACCUCAGCAUCGUGCAGUAAUAUGCAUGGAACAAACCUGUGCAUGCACCCU
rnacentral:lncRNA from 1 species